rnacentral:tRNA from 1 species
GGUUUGUGGUUCAGUGGUAGAGGGCUUACCUAGCAUGUGUGAAGCACUGGGUUCGAUUCUCAGCACCA